rnacentral:rRNA from 6 species
AUAUCAAUAAGCGGAGGAAAAGAAACCAACAGGGAUUGCCUUAGUAACGGCGAGUGAAGCGGCAACAGCUCAAAUUUGAAAUCUGGCCCUUGGGUCCGAAUUGUAAUUUGUAGAGGAUGAUUUUGGUGCGGUAUCUUCCGAGUUCCUUGGAACAGGACGCCUUAGAGGGUGAGAGCCCCGUACGGUUGAAUGCCUAGCCUCUGUAAAUCUCCUUCGACGAGUCGAGUAGUUUGGGAAUGCUGCUCUAAAUGGGAGGUAAAUUUCUUCUAAAGCUAAAUAUUGGCCAGAGACCGAUAGCGCACAAGUAGAGUGAUCGAAAGAUGAAAAGCACUUUGAAAAGAGGGUUAAAUAGCACGUGAAAUUGUUGAAAGGGAAGGAUUUGUGACCAGACUUUUUCUGGGCGGAUCAUCCGGGGUUCUCUCCGGUGCACUUCGCCCAGUAAAGGCCAGCAUCGGUUUUCGGCGUGGGAUAAAAGCAGUAGGAAUGUGGCUCUCUACGGGGAGUGUUAUAGCCUAUUGUAUAAUACCGCGCUGGGGACCGAGGUUCGCGCUUCUGCAAGGAUGCUGGCGUAAUGGUUAUCAAUCACCCGUCUUGAAACACGGACCAAGGAGUCGAACAUUUGUGCGAGUGUUUGGGUGUUAAACCCUCACGCGUAAUGAAAGUGAACGGAGGUGAGAGCCCUUACGGGUGCAUCAUCGACCGAUCCUGAAGUUUUCGGAUGGAUUUGAGUAAGAGCAUAACUGUUCGGACCCGAAAGAUGGUGAACUAUGCGUGGAUAGGGUGAAGCCAGAGGAAACUCUGGUGGAGGCUCGCAGCGGUUCUGACGUGCAAAUCGAUCGUCAAAUCUGCGCAUGGGGGCGAAAGACUAAUCGAACCAUCUAGUAGCUGGUUACCGC